rnacentral:misc_RNA from 1 species
GAUGAAGAACGUAGCGAAAUGCGAUACGUAAUGUGAAUUGCAGAAUUCAGUGAAUCAUCGAAUCUUUGAACGCAUAUUGCGCUCUUUGGUAUUCCGAAGAGCAUGCUUGUUUGAGUAUCAGUAAACACCUCAAAGCUUUUGGAUUUUUUAAUCGAAAAGCUUUGGACUUGAGCAAUCCCAACACCAAUCUUUUUGAGAUCGGUGGCGGGUUGCUUGAAAUGCAGGUGCAGCUGGACAUUCUCCUGAGCUAAACGCAUAUUCAUUUAGUCCCGUCAAACGGAUUAUUACUUUUGCUGCAGCUAACAUAAAGGGAGUUUGACCGUAUUGGCUGACUGAUGCAGGAUUUCACAAGGGUCGGCAACGAUUCUUGUUAAACUCGAUCUCAAAUCAAGUAAGACUACCCGCUGAACUUAAGCAUAUCAAUAAGCGGAGGA